AUUGAACGCUGGCGGCAGGCCUAACACAUGCAAGUCGAACGAGUGGCGGACGGGUGAGUACUGUCUGGGAAACUUCCCGAUGGAGGGGGCUAACUACUGGAAACGGUCGCUAAUACCGCAUACCAUCGGAUGUGCCCAGAUGGGAUUAGCUAGUAGGUGGGGUAACGACUCACCUAGGAGACGAUCCCUAGCUGGUCUGAGAGGAUGACCAGCCACAAUGGAACUGAGACACGGUCCAGACUCGUACGGGAGGCAGCAGUAGGGAAUAUUGCAAAAUGGGCGCAAGCCUGAGGCAGCCAUGCCGCGUGUAUGAAGAAGGCCUGCGGGUUGUAAAGUACGUUCAGCGAGGAGGCGUUACUCGCAGAAGAAGAACCGGCUAACUCCGUGCCAGCAGCCGCGGUAAUAC
rnacentral:rRNA from 1 species